UACGAAGGGGGCUAGCGUUGCUCGGAAUUACUGGGCGUAAAGCGCACGUAGGCGGUCUCUUAAGUCGGGGGUGAAAUCCUGGAGCUCAACUCCAGAACUGCCUUCGAUACUGGAAGACUUGAGUCCGGGAGAGGUGAGUGGAACUGCGAGUGUAGAGGUGAAAUUCGUAGAUAUUCGCAAGAACACCAGUGGCGAAGGCGGCUCACUGGCCCGGUACUGACGCUGAGGUGCGAAAGCGUGGGAGCAAACAGG
rnacentral:rRNA from 1 species